CGAGAAAGUUAUACCCACACCGCCACGUCGAUGCAUCUCCUCUCCACCCUUCCGUUCAUUCCAGCGCCUCUCUUUCUCUCUCUAUAAGGACGUGGUCUUUCUCUCUGUAGUCGCCGUUUCCUUUACUUCCUCGCAGUACCGACAAAACCCUCUCCCCCGGUUGCAAGAUGAGCGAUCCAAAGUACGCAUACCCUUAUCCUGCUCAAGGCUAUUAUCAAGGGCCACCUGUGAUGGCACCACCACAGUAUGCUGCUCCACCACCACGAAGACAGGCUGGUUUUCUUGAAGGAUGUCUCGCUGCUCUGUGUUGUUGCUGCCUCAUUGACGAGUGUUGCUGUGACCCAUCGAUAAUAUUUAUCAGCUGAUCACUAUCUCGUUCCAAGAUUGUUAUGCCCUUUUUAUUUAUGUGUGAUUUAAAUAAAAAACUCUCAAAGAUUAUGAUGUAAAAUGUUUCUUUAGGACGAGGUUUGUGUCAUAUAAAAAAUCUUUGCAGCCUCUGUAUACUGUGAUCGUGGAACAGCUUCAUCGAUAGUAUUCCUUGCUUGUGUAUUUUCCCUGCUCCUUUUGCUUCGUGUGGAAUUAACAUGGUGGACUCUUAUUUCUGACCUUUGAUUUCAGCAACACAAAGGUUGAAAUUAAGGUAUGGUCAAUGUCAGGUUUUCUUAUGGAAUAUAUUCUCACAUCUGAAGCUAGGAUUCUGCUUGAACUAUUAUCAUUUGACAAAUGAUAGACCAAUCCUGGAUGCCAGUUUGUGGUGGUUGUGGGUUCUUCUUCUUCUUCACAGUUUCUAGUUCAUAUCCGAGACAAUAAUUAACAAUCUUAUAUUUAUUUUAUGUCUAAUCUUCUUUCCACGUAUCAGAAAGGAAUGGGGAAAUCAAUUCAGUCGAAUUUAUCAAAAGGCAUCUUAUCUUCUUGUAUAAACUGACGUGACUGAUGUGUUCCUUGGCUCAGGUCUCUGGAAAAUUAAUGCAGCAGCUUCUUCCACGAGAGCCAAAGUCAUACUGUCACUUUGUUGACCUUUAUUGAAGCCUCUUAACCUAUUAAUUUAGAGAAAAAAUGAUAGAAUUAGAUGAGUUAGGCUCUUUGCAUCACACAGACUUGGGUCCACCAUCCAUUCUCUGUCCAAUCAACUUGCACAGAAAAUUAUUGGCUGAAUUUGACAAACAUUCUGAAGAAGAAGAGCAGAAUAUUGAAUUCAUGAGGCCCAUCACCCACCAUCCUUUCAGAGUGGAAAUUCUUCUCAGAAUUAAAAAAAAUGAAGAAAACUAAGAGUAGAUAGAGAUAAAAUGAAAAAAAGGCACUUUUGAGGAGAGAGAUUAUAAUAAAAUAUUAUGAUUACAAACAGAUGUCAAUCAGUAAAGAUUUUGACAUACUAAUUUAGGUUUAAAUUUUGCUUUUAUGUAUAUAUAUAUAUAUAUAUAUAUAAAACUAUGAUGAUAAGAAGAAGGCUCAUAUAAUGUGUAAUAAAAUGAAAUUUUCUUUUAUGUAUAUAAAAAACUAUGUUUUCUCCAACUCCUCUUUGACCGAUAACAUUUCAGUCUGAUAGAUGAAAUGGUAUUAUCUUUUUCUAACUUGGAGGGGUGUUUAUGAUAUUUACAAUCAUGUGGCCCCCAUUACUGCAACCGUGAAUGGGCUUUUUUUGAAAGUUUAAAGGCCGACUUGGACCGGUCCCGAAUUCUAAUCCGGUCCAACUUAAUUUUGUGCCAGCGAUAAAUAACUCGGGCCAUCGAAGUUGAACCAGAAGCGGAAAGCGAUCGUUGCAAGAAGAAGCAGAAGAGCAGGAGAAGAAGUAGAGGGUUUCCUUCUCUUCUGGUUUCGGAAGCAGGAGCAGCGGAGGGGAGGACAAAAUGAAGACGACCAAGGGAGGGAAGGUCAUGAACCCCACCGACGCCUACCGGAAAGAGCUCCGCAAGAAGGAGCUCAAACGGGCUUGGUCUACAUCACGGGAUCUAAAAUAAAAUUUCCCCGAGACAUGCAUGCAACAAUUAGAAGUCUUUGAUCAUGAAGGUGCUUUUAAUGAAUUUAGUUGAACCAGAAGUUUAUUGGCCCCUUGAGACAUGCAG